rnacentral:rRNA from 1 species
UGGGGAAUAUUGCACAAUGGGGGAAACCCUGAUGCAGCGACGCCGCGUGAACGAAGAAGGUAUUCGUAUCGUAAAGUUCUGUCCUAUGGCAAGAUAAUGACAGUACCAUAGAAGAAAGCUCCGGCUAAAUACGUGCCAGCAGCCGCGGUAAUACGUAUGGAGCGAGCGUUGUCCGCAAUUAUUGGGCGUAAAGGGUACGCAGGCGGUUUAAUAAGUCGAAUGUUAAAGAUCGGGGCUCAACCCCGUAAAGCAUUGGAAACUGAUAAACUUGAGUAGUGGAGAGGAAAGUGGAAUUCCUAGUGUAGUGGUGAAAUACGUAGAUAUUAGGAGGAAUACCAGUAGCGAAGGCGACUUUCUGGACACAAACUGACGCUGAGGUACGAAAGCGUGGGGAGCAAACAGG